AGAACGAACGCUGGCGGCAGGCCUAAUACAUGCAAGUCGAACGCACUCUUCGGAGUGAGUGGCAGACGGGUGAGUAACGCGUGGGAACCUUCCUUGUAGUACGGAAUAACUCCGGGAAACCGGUGCUAAUACCGUAUACGCCCUCCGGGGGAAAGAUUUAUCGCUACAAGAUGGGCCCGCGUUGGAUUAGCUAGUUGGUAGGGUAAUGGCCUACCAAGGCUACGAUCCAUAGCUGGUCUGAGAGGAUGAUCAGCCACACUGGGACUGAGACACGGCCCAGACUCCUACGGGAGGCAGCAGUAGGGAAUCUUGGACAAUGGGCGAAAGCCUGAUCCAGCCAUGCCGCGUGAGUGAAGAAGGCCUUGGGUUGUAAAGCACUUUUGUACCGGAAAGAAAGCACUCAAUUAAUACCUGGGUGUCCUGACGGUACCGGAAGAAUAAGCACCGGCUAACUUCGUGCCAGCAGCCGC
rnacentral:rRNA from 1 species